rnacentral:rRNA from 2 species
GGCGGCGUGCCUAAUACAUGCAAGUCGAGCGAACUGAUUAGAAGCUUGCUUCUAUGACGUUAGCGGCGGACGGGUGAGUAACACGUGGGCAACCUGCCUGUAAGACUGGGAUAACUUCGGGAAACCGAAGCUAAUACCGGAUAGGAUCUUCUCCUUCAUGGGAGAUGAUUGAAAGAUGGUUUCGGCUAUCACUUACAGAUGGGCCCGCGGUGCAUUAGCUAGUUGGUGAGGUAACGGCUCACCAAGGCAACGAUGCAUAGCCGACCUGAGAGGGUGAUCGGCCACACUGGGACUGAGACACGGCCCAGACUCCUACGGGAGGCAGCAGUAGGGAAUCUUCCGCAAUGGACGAAAGUCUGACGGAGCAACGCCGCGUGAGUGAUGAAGGCUUUCGGGUCGUAAAACUCUGUUGUUAGGGAAGAACAAGUACAAGAGUAACUGCUCGUACCUUGACGGUACCUAACCAGAAAGCCACGGCUAACUACGUGCCAGCAGCCGCGGUAAUACGUAGGUGGCAAGCGUUAUCCGGAAUUAUUGGGCGUAAAGCGCGCGCAGGCGGUUUCUUAAGUCUGAUGUGAAAGCCCACGGCUCAACCGUGGAGGGUCAUUGGAAACUGGGGAACUUGAGUGCAGAAGAGAAAAGCGGAAUUCCACGUGUAGCGGUGAAAUGCGUAGAGAUGUGGAGGAACACCAGUGGCGAAGGCGGCUUUUUGGUCUGUAACUGACGCUGAGGCGCGAAAGCGUGGGGAGCAAACAGGAUUAGAUA